AUUGAACGCUGGCGGCAGGCCUAACACAUGCAAGUCGAGCGGAUGAAGGGAGCUUGCUCCUGGAUUCAGCGGCGGACGGGUGAGUAAUGCCUAGGAAUCUGCCUGGUAGUGGGGGAAACGUCCGGAAACGGGCGCUAAUACCGCAUACGUCCUGAGGGAGAAAGUGGGGGAUCUUCGGACCUCACGCUAUCAGAUGAGCCUAGGUCGGAUUAGCUAGUUGGUGGGGUAAAGGCCUACCAAGGCGACGAUCCGUAACUGGUCUGAGAGGAUGAUCAGUCACACUGGAACUGAGACACGGUCCAGACUCCUACGGGAGGCAGCAGUGGGGAAUAUUGGACAAUGGGCGAAAGCCUGAUCCAGCCAUGCCGCGUGUGUGAAGAAGGUCUUCGGAUUGUAAAGCACUUUAAGUUGGGAGGAAGGGCAGUAAGUUAAUACCUUGCUGUUUUGACGUUACCAACAGAAUAAGCACCGGCUAACUUCGUG
rnacentral:rRNA from 1 species